rnacentral:rRNA from 1 species
AUUGAACGCUGGCGGCAUGCUUUACACAUGCAAGUCGGACGGCAGCACAGAGAAGCUUGCUUCCUGGUUGUCGAGUGGCGCACGGGUGUGUAACAUAUCUGACCGUACCGAGCCGCGGGGGAUAACUCAUCGAAAGAUUACCUAAUACCGCAUAUCUUCUGAGGCAGAAAGCAGGGGACCAUUUGGCCUUGCUCUGUUUGCUCGGCCGAUAUCUGAUUAGCUAGUUGGUGGGGUAAAGGCCUACCAAGGCGACGAUCAGUAGCGGAUCUGAGAGGAUGAUCCGCCACACUGGGACUGAGACACGGCCCAGACUCCUACGGGAGGCAGCAGUGGGGAAUUUUGGACAAUGGGCGCAAGCCUGAUCCAGCCAUGCCGCGUGUCUGAAGAAGGCCUUCGGGUUGUAAAGGACUUUUGUCAGGGAAGAAAAGGGCGGGGUUAAUACCCCUGUCUGAUGACGGUACCUGAAGAAUAAGCACCGGCUAACUACGUG